UAAUGCCAUUGAUAUUGAGCAUUUUUUCAAGUGUUUAUUGACAGUUCUAUAUUUUCUUUGAAUAAAUAUUCAAAUCUCUUUGUCCUUUUUUAUUCAUUAAUUGUAUUUUUAUUGAUAAGAGAUGCCUUUAUUAUUGCUUUUACUAAAUUCUUAUCACAUACGAUUUACAAACAUUUUCUGCAAUAUAUAAGCUGUCUCUUCACUUUCUUGAUAAUGUCCUUUGAUGCAUAGAUGUUUUAAACUUUGAGAAAAUCUAAUUUGCCUUGUUUCAUUCUAAUAUACCAAUUAGAGAUUUAAUGCAAUCCCAAUCAAAAUCUUGGCAGUAACUACCCUCUAAAUGUGUGU
rnacentral:lncRNA from 1 species